rnacentral:rRNA from 1 species
GACGAACGCUGGCGGCGCGCUUAACACAUGCAAGUCGAACGGAAAGGCCUGCUUUCCCUUGUGGAUUGCGGGUACUCGAGUGGCGAACGGGUGAGUAACACGUGAGUGAUCUGCCCCCAACUUGGGUAUAAGCCUGGGAAACUGGGUCUAAUUCCCGAUAGGACUGCAGGGUGGUGCCUGUGGUGGAAAACGAUUUUCUAGUGGUUGGGAAUGAGCUCGCGGCCUAUCAGCUUGUUGGUGGGGUAAUGGCCUACCAAGGCGGCGACGGGUAGCCGGCCUGAGAGGGUGGACGGCCACAUUGGGACUGAGAUACGGCCCAGACUCCUACGGGAGGCAGCAGUGGGGAAUAUUGCACAAUGGGCGGAAGCCUGAUGCAGCGACGCCGCGUGGGGGAGGACGGCCUUCGGGUUGUAAACUCCUUUCGACCGCGAGGAAGCCACCUGGUUGGAAGGGUGGUGACGGUAGUGGUAGAAGAAGCACCGGCUAACGACGUGC